AUUCUGUAUAAAAAGUUGUUGUUGCUGGAAUGUUAAGGGAUGCCAAGCCUGACAAAAGCAAAUUGCAAAAGCUUUCCAUUGCAAUGGCGGCAGAAAAUACUCGCAAGUAAAAGAGAAGAGGAACUUAAUCGAUCAGACGCUUGUUGUAUGUUGUUGGUUUGGUUCCGGUUAAUUUACACGAAAAUCGUCAGAAGAAUCGGAGUGUUAUCACGUUUAAUGGACAACGUUUAAAAAUCAAUGGGGCCGCAUAACGAUAAAGUUACAUAUACGGUCGACAGCAACCGAAAUCCUUUCGGAUCAGGAGAACCCAAUAUGCGCAUCCAAAACAACGGAAAACACAAGAGGACCCGCAAAAAAAAAAAGAAUUAAAGGAUGAUUAUCAUAAGACAGCAGCAAAAAUCCCACGGUUUUAUACCAUUUUUCAUUUAAGUGACCAGUAAAUGAGUAAAUAACCGUAAUAGCUAUCACUUGAAAAAGUCGCCAGUUCCGGUCGACCUAAGCAGAAGCUCUUAAAAAAGAUACCGGGAAGGGGGAGAAUUAAGCGAUACAAUUCAACGACCUGUUUGAUUCGGCGAUGACUACAAAUGCAAAAUUUAAAAGGCACUACGUUCACUUUACAAAAAUAUCGGGCCUGAUGAUGAACCCAGAAGGAGGACAUCCUUCGACGGAACCAUAUAUUCAAGGACUAUCUGUGCCGAAU